rnacentral:rRNA from 1 species
CUACGUGCCAGCAGCCGCGGUAAUACGGAGGGUGCGAGCGUUAAUCGGAAUAACUGGGCGUAAAGGGCACGCAGGCGGUGACUUAAGUGAGGUGUGAAAGCCCCGGGCUUAACCUGGGAAUUGCAUUUCAUACUGGGUCGCUAGAGUACUUUAGGGAGGGGUAGAAUUCCACGUGUAGCGGUGAAAUGCGUAGAGAUGUGGAGGAAUACCGAAGGCGAAGGCAGCCCCUUGGGAAUGUACUGACGCUCAUGUGCGAAAGCGUGGGGAGCAAACAGGAUUAGAUACCCUGGUAGUCCACGCUGUAAACGAUGUCAAUUUGGGGGUUGAACUAUAAGUUUGGCGCCCGUAGCUAACGUGAUAAAUCGACCGCCUGGGGAGUACGGCCGCAAGGUUAAAACUCAAAUGAAUUGACGGGGGCCCGCACAAGCGGUGGAGCAUGUGGUUUAAUUCGAUGCAACGCGAAGAACCUUACCUACUCUUGACAUCCAGAGAACAUUC